UAGUAAGGUAUGUUCACAUUUCUAACUUCAAUUAUAUGAUUAUAAAACAGCAUUUACGACUAUUUUCUAAGCUGUGUUUAUAAUAAUAUUCGUAGAUUACCCCUCAAAGAUAUGGAUACAAACACAGUGCACCUUUAGAUGAAAGAUUUCUCAUCUUUGUUUUUAUUGAUGUUCUAAUAAAAAUGUUUAAUUGUUCAAUAGGGCACUUUUUAUUUCAAAGUAUCGUCUAUUUAUCGGUUAUAUUCAAAAUGCCCUAACUGUCAAUUUUCAUUCAAUUUUUACAAUUGUAAGAAGUUCAAGCGCUCCGGUCAUCAAUGACCAUCGUGGUGUCACAGGAGAAACGGUGGCCGGUCAUAUAUGACCAACGUGGCAGUCAAAGUGUUAAUAUAUGAGCGUUAGUUGCUCGAACGAUCAAGCUAGAAUAUGCAGAGUGUCCCAAAAAAUUAAGGUUAAACUUCAGGAGCAAAAAAGCAAAAAUGUCUUAAUAAACAUGGAUCUGAAUGUUUUUAAUAUCGGAAUUAUAAGAGGCUUUUAUCAGUGGAAUAUCAUCUAUUUAGGAAUGUUAUAUGAUAAGGAAACAAUUGGUUCUGAGAGUUGAUGAUGAUAUCGCUGAUAUCAAUUCUUCACAAUCUCGAAAAUUACCUUCCAAUGUUCGAUAUAGUCAAACCUUUGUUGAUGUAUGACACUGAACACAUUACUAAUUAGGUGCAUACGUGUCGGGAAAAUUUCUUUACGCAGUAAACUUUCUUGUGCAGUCGCCAACUUACAGUUGAAAAUGUCUCGAUACGCUCCCACCAUGAGUGACAAGACAUUUGCUAAUUUUAAACGCAAGUUUUAAUAAAAUAGGUUUUUAACAAAAACCUUCAAAAUAUAAUAUAACUUAGCUUCCCUUAUAAUACACGCAAUUAGUAACUAUUGGUUUUCUUUUGUAAUAACAACAUUUAUCUAUGUCUAUAAUAAAUAUCCCGAGACUCAGCCAGAGUAGUAUACAUGUACAAUUGAUGGUUGAUUUCACGAUGUCAACAAGAACUAUGUGUUGUCCAGUUUAUAUCUUUUAAAAUGAUUAAUUUGAGAAUAUCUCGAUAAUCUUAGACUCUAUCGUGUAUAAUACUUCUUUACGUAAAGUUUGAUGCUUUAUCCGAAUUCGAGAAGAAAUGUUAAGCAUUCUAUCUAAAAAGCUGAAGGUGCCCAUCAUAUUUUGAUGAAAAAAAAAACAAAUAAUAACAAAAUAAUUACAAUAAUGUCAUUCUGGAAAGUAGUACCAUGAUAAUACAUACAGCUUUUACUCGAAACAUUUUUUUGUACAGCGAAUAAUUAAUUUAUGAGUUAUGUCAUGUUGCGAGACUUAACCUGUACAUGCGUUACCCUUCUUUUCUUUUAAAAAUAAAUAUUUCUAUAACUUUUAGAAUAACGCAAAUAAAAAUCUAUCUUAAAGUA